GCCUUUGUAGCUUAAUUGGUUAAAGCAAUCGCUUGAAGCGCGAUUGAUGCGAGUUCAAUUCUCGACGUAGGCA
rnacentral:tRNA from 1 species